CCUUUGGAGAACUAUACAAACAAAAGUAGUAAUUAUAUAUAUUAUGAAAUUGGGUUCAUUGAAUAAGGAA
rnacentral:sRNA from 12 species